rnacentral:rRNA from 1 species
UACAGAGGUCCCAAGCGUUGUUCGGAUUCACUGGGCGUAAAGGGUGCGUAGGCGGCUGAGUAAGUCUGAUGUGAAAUCUCCGAGCCUAACUCGGAAACUGCAUCGGAUACUAUUCAGCUAGAGGAUUGGAAGGGAGACUGGAAUUCUCGGUGUAGCAGUGAAAUGCGUAGAUAUCGAGAGGAACACCAGUGGCGAAGGCGGCCUGCUGGGCUGUUGCUGACGCUGAGGCGCGACAGCGUGGGGAGCAAACAGG